rnacentral:lncRNA from 1 species
GCACACUGCAACCUUCGCCUCCCAGGUUCAAGCGAUUCUCCUGCCUCAGCUCUUGGACAAAACUUCAGCACUCCUGCUAGGGUGUGUCUGCCCUACUAAGACACUGUGCGCAGGUGGAGUUGAGGCUCUUAUGUAUGGAUCCUGUCCACUGUUGAGAUUGUGAAUUGCAUGUGUAGACUCAACUCACAGGAGGUGUUGACUCACAAACCUCCAGCUGGGACAUGUGCAGGAUUAGAAAUUUUAUUUCUGGAUCUUUCUUCAGAAGGCGUUGUAACAUCUCACUAAGCCCAGCACUCAGGCGAUGUGGCUUUCCUGCUAUGGCACUGCACACAAGAAGAAUGUUGACAUAUUCCUGGCCCAGAAUUCAGGUUGUAUUGUGCCAUAUAUCUGGGACCAAAUUACAAGCACAAUGAUGAAUCUUUUACCUGGAGUCAAGACAUGGGCAGGAUGAUGGAACUUAUCACUGGACCUUUCCACAGUGUUAUUGUGACAUAUGCCUUUGCCCAACAUGUGGUGAUUUGACUCUCCAGACUGGGUCCAGUUCACAAAUAAAAUUGUGCCGUAUACUUGGCCAAG